rnacentral:rRNA from 1 species
GGAUGAACGCUGGCGGCGUGCCUAAUCCAUGCAAGUCGAGCGAACGGACGAGAAGCUUGCUUCUCUGAUGUUAGCGGCGGACGGGUGAGUAACACGUGGAUAACCUACCUAUAAGACUGGGAUAACUUCGGGAAACCGGAGCUAAUACCGGAUAAUAUUUUGAACCGCAUGGUUCAAAAGUGAAAGACGGUCUUGCUGUCACUUAUAGAUGGAUCCGCGCUGCAUUAGCUAGUUGGUAAGGUAACGGCUUACCAAGGCAACGAUGCAUAGCCGACCUGAGAGGGUGAUCGGCCACACUGGAACUGAGACACGGUCCAGACUCCUACGGGAGGCAGCAGUAGGGAAUCUUCCGCAAUGGGCGAAAGCCUGACGGAGCAACGCCGCGUGAGUGAUGAAGGUCUUCGGAUCGUAAAACUCUGUUAUUAGGGAAGAACAUAUGUGUAAGUAACUGUGCACAUCUUGACGGUACCUAAUCAGAAAGCCACGGCUAACUUCGUG